rnacentral:rRNA from 1 species
AAAUUGAAGAGUUUGAUCAUGGCUCAGAUUGAACGCUGGCGGCAGGCCUAACACAUGCAAGUCGAACGGUAACAGGAAGCAGCUUGCUGCUUUGCUGACGAGUGGCGGACGGGUGAGUAAUGUCUGGGAAGCUGCCUGAUGGAGGGGGAUAACUACUGGAAACGGUAGCUAAUACCGCAUAACGUCGCAAGACCAAAGAGGGGGACCUUCGGGCCUCUUGCCAUCGGAUGUGCCCAGAUGGGAUUAGCUAGUAGGUGGGGUAACGGCUCACCUAGGCGACGAUCCCUAGCUGGUCUGAGAGGAUGACCAGCCACACUGGAACUGAGACACGGUCCAGACUCCUACGGGAGGCAGCAGUGGGGAAUAUUGCACAAUGGGCGCAAGCCUGAUGCAGCCAUGCCGCGUGUAUGAAGAAGGCCUUCGGGUUGUAAAGUACUUUCAGCGGGGAGGAAGGGAGUAAAGUUAAUACCUUU